rnacentral:lncRNA from 1 species
UGAUUAAUAGUCACAUAAUUCAGGAAUAUAUAUAUAUAUAUAUAUAUAUAUAUAUAUAUAUAUAUAUAUAUAUUUAAAGUUAUUAGACUCACAUGUGACACCCCCAAAAUAGGUCUACAUCACCCAUUCUGAGUUGUCAAUACACGGUACAGAAACAACUACAACUUUAUUAUUACAAUAGUAAAACUGUGAGUUUAAAUACAGAUAUUGCCAUCUAGACAAUAUCCACAUACAAAUAAAUCCUCAUCAUAAUUAUUGAUACAUUAUUUUACAACAAUGGU